rnacentral:rRNA from 1 species
UACAGAGGGUGCAAGCGUUAAUCGGAAUUACUGGGCGUAAAGCGUGCGCAGGCGGCUUUGCAAGACAGAUGUGAAAUCCCCGGGCUUAACCUGGGAACUGCAUUUUGUGACUGCAUGGCUAGAGUGCGGCAGAGGGGGAUGGAAUUCCGCGUGUAGCAGUGAAAUGCGUAGAUAUGCGGAGGAACACCGAUGGCGAAGGCAAUCCCCUGGGCCUGCACUGACGCUCAUGCACGAAAGCGUGGGGAGCAAACAGG